rnacentral:rRNA from 1 species
CCUACGGGUGGCAGCAGUGGGGGAUAUUGCACAAUGGGCGAAAGCCUGAUGCAGCGACGCCGCGUGAGGGAAGACGGUCUUCGGAUUGUAAACCUCUGUCUUUGGGGAAGAAAUCAGACGGUACCCAAAGAGGAAGCUCCGGCUAACUACGUGCCAGCAGCCGCGGUAAUACGUAGGGAGCGAGCGUUGUCCGGAAUUACUGGGUGUAAAGGGUGCGUAGGCGGAUUUUUAAGUCAGCGGUAAAAUGUCCGGGCUCAACCCGGGCCGGCCGUUGAAACUGGGGAUCUUGAGUGGGCGAGAAGUAUGCGGAAUGCGUGGUGUAGCGGUGAAAUGCAUAGAUAUCACGCAGAACUCCGAUUGCGAAGGCAGCAUACCGGCGCCCGACUGACGGUGAGGCACGAAAGCGUGGGGAUCGAACAGGAUUAGAUACCCCAGUAGUC